GUUUUUUUCUUGAAAAGCAUGGUGUUAAUAUGUUUAAUAUCCUGCAGUGUUUCCUCCAGGCUCCAUAGUCUGAUGGGAAAAGUCGUGUUAAUAUCUGAAGGCCAAGUUGAACAUCAAGGCUCCAAGACCCUCCACUUCACGGCUCUCUCUGGGAUGAACCUUUGUGGAGGGAGGGCCUGCUGUGGCAGAGUGCAGGGGCAGAGCUGCCAGACAAAGACAACAGGGGCUGGAGGAAACGGACCAGGCACAUGAACCCUUGUACCCUCCACUCCUGGACCAGCAUGGAUGGUGGCACUGGGGACACUAGGACCAGCCCAGGUUAGUGGGCGAACCUGGACAAUGAAGAGAAACCCAGUACGUGACAGCCAGCCAGGACCUCUCUCCACUUAUCCCUGCAGGUCGGACCCCUUGCUGGGUCAUGUUAGCUCCAGGCA